CGCCGCGUGAGUGAUGAAGGUCUUCGGAUCGUAAAACUCUGUUAUUAGGGAAGAACAAACGUGUAAGUAACUGUGCACGUCUUGACGGUACCUAAUCAGAAAGCCACGGCUAACUACGUGCCA
rnacentral:rRNA from 1 species